rnacentral:lncRNA from 1 species
GAGGAGGAGCUGAGGGCUCAGGAAGCGCGAGCGUCACGUAGCCGCCAGAGCGCCCCUCCCCGCCCCCCCCAAUCCCGCGGGACCGGCGCUCCGCGAAGGGGAACCGGUGGCUGGGGGCCAGAUCCAAGCCUCCUCAUCUGUGACCCACGCCACAGCUCAUGGCAGCACUGGAUCCUUAACCCACUGAGCCAGGCCAGGGAUCAAACCUGCUUCCUCACAGAUACUAGGUGGUCUGGAGCUCUUUCUCAUCAUGGCGUCUUGGAGCAUGACAUUGCCACCUUCUCCAUCCACCAACAUCCAGAAGGAAUUCCCACUGUGGUGCUAGAUCGGUGGCAUCGUCGCAGGACCAGGACAUGAGCUGUGGUGUAGGUAACAGACAAGGCUCGGAUCUGGCGUUGCUGUGGCUGUGGCUGCAGCCCUGAUUCCACCCCUGGCCUGGGAACUUCCAUAUGCCCUGGGUAUGGCGCUAAUAAAAUAUAAAACCGGGGGGGUGCAUCUUUCCGGUUUUUGCUUUUCUUUU